rnacentral:rRNA from 1 species
UACGGAGGGUGCAAGCGUCAUCCGGAUUCACUGGGUUUAAAGGGUGCGUAGGCGGGCAGGUAAGUCCGUGGUGAAAUCUCUGAGCUUAACUCAGAAACUGCCAUGGAUACUAUUUGUCUUGAAUGUUGUGGAGGUAAGCGGAAUAUGUCAUGUAGCGGUGAAAUGCUUAGAUAUGACAUAGAACACCAAUUGCGAAGGCAGCUUACUACACAAAUAUUGACGCUGAGGCACGAAAGCGUGGGGAGCAAACAGG